rnacentral:rRNA from 1 species
GAUGAACGCUGGCGGCGUGCUUAACACAUGCAAGUCGAACGAAGCACUUUAUUUGAUUUCCUUCGGGACUGAUUAUUUUGUGACUGAGUGGCGGACGGGUGAGUAACGCGUGGGUAACCUGCCUUGUACAGGGGGAUAACAGUUGGAAACGGCUGCUAAUACCGCAUAAGCGCCCAGCAUCGCAUGAUGCAGUGUGAAAAACUCCGGUGGUAUAAGAUGGACCCGCGUUGGAUUAGCUAGUUGGUGAGGUAACGGCCCACCAAGGCGACGAUCCAUAGCCGAGCUGAGAGGGUGACCGGCGACAUUGGGACUGAGACACGGCCCAAACUCCUACGGGAGGCAGCAGUGGGGAAUAUUGCACAAUGGGCGAAAGCCUGAUGCAGCGACGCCGCGUGAGCGAAGAAGUAUUUCGGUAUGUAAAGCUCUAUCAGCAGGGAAGAUAAUGACGGUACCUGACUAAGAAGCACCGGCUAAAUACGUG